AGCCUGCCUUGGACAUGGCUAGGGGUCCACUUGAGGUCAUUACACAGAGGAUCCUGCUGUGACAUUUCCUGCAGAACUUGGGGGCCAGGUGCUGGGAAUUGAACCUGUGUCCUGUGGAAGAGAAGCUGGUGCUCUUAACUGCCGAGCCAUCUCUCCAGUCACCACAUCUUUUAAUAUGUCCUCUAAAAACUGAAGAACAUAUCUUCUGGGUGGGAAGGAACCCUGACACCUAUUUUGAAAGGCUGCCGACAUCACGUGAUUAGCAGAUACAGCUUUAGGCUUUUGUAGGUCAGUAACCAAGUACAUACUCUGCUGAACAGGAACAAAAAUUAAUUUUAAUUGCC
rnacentral:lncRNA from 1 species